rfam:Rattus norvegicus chromosome 15, whole genome shotgun sequence.
UGGCUCAGUGGUUAAGAGCACUGGCUGUUCUUCCAGAGGACUUGGGUUCAAUUCCCAG